rnacentral:rRNA from 1 species
UACGAAGGGGGCUAGCGUUGUUCGGAUUUACUGGGCGUAAAGGGCGCGUAGGCGGCGCAACAAGUCACUUGUGAAAUCUCCGGGCUUAACUCGGAACGGUCAAGUGAUACUGUUGUGCUAGAGUGCGGAAGGGGCAACUGGAAUUCUCGGUGUAGCGGUGAAAUGCGUAGAUAUCGAGAGGAACACCUGCGGCGAAGGCGGGUUGCUGGGCCGACACUGACGCUGAUGCGCGAAAGCCAGGGGAGCGAACGGG